UAUGAAUGAAUUGUAAAUGUUCGGGCAAAGACGCGAGAGACAUUUCAGUCAUUGAUGUUCAAAAGCAAGCCAUCAUUUUGUUAGAGAUUUCUCAGCAGAAACUUACAUCCAAAAUAGUGCAAAGAAAGAUUGAUUCCUUCUGUGUUCUAACUCAAUCACUAAACUUGUAAGAUACAGGGCCAGGACUCAAGUGAUUUUGAAUUUGUUAACGAUGCCUGGAAUCAAGAUCCGUGAUGAAGAUCGAGAAAAAAUCCCUGCGAAGUAUAUAUGUACUUACUGUCAUCACGUUUUUAUCAAUCCAAUGCAGACCUCGUGUGGACAUUUGUUUUGUAAAUCUUGUAUGGACAUUCUUGGAAAUCCUGAUUUUAAAUGUCCUGAAGAUAAAGAAAAUUUGACCAAGGAAAAUGUUUUCCCGGAUGCUUUUACGAAGCGUGAGUUAAAAAGGAUUUAAUUACACUGUCCAUCUGAAGAGUGUAAAUGGUUUGGUACACACGAAGA